UUUCCUCUGCCAAUUUUUUAUUUAAUUUUUUCGUCUCCACCAUUUUUAUUAUAGCAUGCCCAUUUCUAACAUUUUAUCCAUGAGGUUUAUACAUGAACAAAGGGUAAAAAAUAAAAAUAAAAACUUUUCUAUCCAGUUAUUUUAUGCAAUCUGCGGUUUUGCCAUUGACUGUAAAUAUAAUUAUUCUUAUAUACAGUCUAGUGGUUUUCCACAUUCUUUCACACAUGAAAAUGCUAAAGAUGGUGUAACCCAGGUUACUAGACCUUAUUGAAAAUAAAUGAUUCUUUUUUCAUCCUGUAGAGGGCGCUUCACACUGAAGUGCAGAACUUCUGCGGAGGGAUACACGUGGUAUCUGUGAAGCUGAGUUUCAGCGGAGGGAUAUGUGAUUAGGUCGGUAUUAGAGCUGGAUGAUUCGACUGGAGAAAGAAAAAAAGAACGCACGCGAGUUGCCCCCGCUGUGUUUUUUAUGAAAGAAAAGAAAAUAUCUUCAUCUCUUUGUGAGAUAUUGCCUCCCAGACGACUGGAGUUUAUUUUUGUUUAACAUUGAUAAAAGGAUUUGGUCAGGUUUUUUUUCCGUUCGUGAGAUUCACCACAAUUGUGAAUCUGUUCGAGUUCCUGCACACCACAGAGGACGGACGUACUUUGAUGGCGAGCCAACCUACUGGAGUCUGAACAGUUGCAUCUGACAAGACUUCUGGAACCUCAUUUGCUACAAGAAAGAAACUGAACAUUUCAAACUCGUGGUAGGACACAACCUACUUCUUUUCUACAGGUGCUGAGUCACCAGGAACCUCCUUUUAAAAAAACAUUACCUAAGGAUGGAACGGACUCUCCUCUUAUUUUUUGUUUGAAAUUUCUUUUAUUUUAUUGAAAUAUGGUUUUGAUUAAAGGAGUUGUAUAUUUUUGUUUAUUGCAUUUUGUGAACCAAACGGGUACAUUUGUGUUAAAGGUUUAAAUUAAGACAUUUAAAUAUAAGGUGAACUUUAAUUUUGAAAUUAAUAUAAAAGAGAGGUUAAUUGAACUAACAUAGUUUUAAGUGAAAGGAAUAAAAAGAGAAUCAAAAACCUUGCAAGGUAAAAUUUGACCAACCCCGGGGUUAAACCAAAUUAUUUUUACAGAAAAAAACUUAUAGUGCACAACUUUUAUUUUGGGUUUCUGUUUUAAUAUUCCAUGUUUAUGACUGGACUUGAAGAAGUUUUGUUAUGUCUUAUUAUUUUAUAAAUAAUCAAAUAUUCUAAAUCA